AUGAGGAAGACCCCCGACAUCAUUAGUGGUCGAGUGACCUUCGCACUUAUGGAGACCUCAUUAACUGAGGUCUGCCCAAAGCAGCGAUGAGUGAUAUGAAGAACAGCCCUGAGGUCAUCAGUGGCCGAAUGACCUUCGACCCGUUCCCGCACCUGACCCGUUUUCCCCACCGAGCCCAGCACAUCCCGUCCCCGUACCCCUGUGUGGUCCUGUCCCGUACCUCCGUGUCGGAUUGCUUCCCCGGAUUACGACCUACCUGCCUGUCCCUCGACCUUGCCUUUCGCCUUUCCCUUCUGGUAAAAUAAAGCAUAUGUGGGCUUG